CCAAAAUGCUGGGAUUACAAGCAUGAACCACUGUGACUUGCCUUCUUGGCAAUUUUAAAUGAAAGAAGAAGAUGGAAUAAUGCCUACUGAGGACUAUGUUUGAGGGGUGUUGUAUGACCCCGUUUUCCAUACCCAGCCAACUUGUCAUGUGACAAGUCCACAGAAAGAUGUUAUAUGACAGGAAUCUAUGAACUAGUCUUCCCUGAAAUGUACCUGACUACAGCUAACAUCAUAUCACAUGAUGAAAGACCGCGUUGUUUUCCCCUGAGGUUGGCAGGGGGACCUAUUGCUCACAGGAAGAAAAAAACAGCGUCCUUAUUUUGUGACUUCUGGCAACUGUCUUUUUCCGAGGAAGCCCCUUCCCUUCUGCCCUGCCUCUGAGUUCAAGCCGGGAUGCAGCUCCUAGUGUUUUCAAGCGUCUUACAGAUGGAGAUCAGCCCCGUCUUCCUCCAACGUCCCCACCCCGCAUCGGAGUCAGGACUCCACGGUGCUGUGGUCAGCACGGCUGCAUGGUCCUGCGACCCUGAGCCCCAGUGGGCUCUGACUGUGGUUACCAGCGCCUUAGGAGACAGAGUAACAGUCUGGAAGCAGAAACAGAGACUGUCCAUUUCAUAAACAGCCACAUCCGCAAGGUUUAUUCCUGGAUCACAAACCAACCCCACUGACCAAACUCCCAAGUCACUUUAUAUUAAACUUGUUAUCAAAUCACCCACAUAAAUAUAUAUAAUAAAUACAAAAACUGCAGGAAGAUGUACGUGAAAUAAUUCAUGGAAAAGUCACAGUGGCCUUGAAGUUCUCCAGAUAACUAUGAAAAACUACGUUAAGAUGCUAUUUUUCAACAAAAUUCAUUUUACCAACCUCAAAACGUAUUUCCUCCGAAGAGGAUACGCACUGACAAACAACACCCGAGUGUGGCAUGCUAGCAGGAGCACUAGGCUGGGAGUCAAGAGACUUAAAUUCCACCCGGAAGCCACCACAUGACCUUGGCAUGAGCCCGUCACCAGGCUCCUCAGCGUCCUCAUCGCAGCACCAGGGAUUUCCCAAGCCCUCCGGAAAUACUGUAACUUGACAACAAUGGAGAAAGACUUUCACCCAUGCGGUUGGAAUGCUAGCCUUAAAAUAUAUACAAUUGUUACAUGUCAAUAAAAAUAAAUAAAUAAAUGUUUAAAAAAAAAAAU
rnacentral:lncRNA from 10 species